AGAGCAAGUAGUUGAAAUUGAGAAAACCAAUGAGUUGAAUGCUGGGCAGAACAUGGAUGCGUUGUUUGAAAGCUCUAACUUUGAUUUUGAUUUUGUGGAGUGUACACAAAUGCCUGAGAUGUAUUAUAGUGUGAGGCCUAUAGAUCAAUUGACAUGGGAUUCACAGGCCUUGCAAUAACAAAAUAAACCAGUAUCUUCUAAUUUCUCUAUGUGCG
rnacentral:misc_RNA from 1 species